rnacentral:rRNA from 1 species
UACGGAGGAUGCAAUCGUUAUCCGGAAUGAUUGGGCGUAAAGCGUCCGCAGGUGGCAAUGUAAGUCUGCUGUCAAAGCGUCUGGCUCAACCAGAUAAAGGCAGUGGAAACUACAUAGCUAGAGUAAGGUAGGGGUAGAGGGAAUUCCGGGUGUAGUGGUGAAAUGCGUAGAGAUCCGGAGGAACACCAGUGGCGAAGGCGACACGCUGGGCCGUACCUGACACUGAUGCGCGACAGCAUGGGGAGCAAACAGG